AUGGCCAUAUUCGACGAGUUCAACGUUGGGUCCAUCGACCUCGGACGCCUCAACUAUAGGAUCAUCUCGCUCAUCCCCAAGGUCCCUGGGGCUUCCGACAUUCGCCAGUUCCGCCCGAUCACGGUCAUCAACGUGAUUUUUCAGAUUUUGGCGAAAGGGUUCACCAAUAGGGUGACCCUGCUCAGUGACCGCAUUACCCACCCACAGUCCACAUUUAUCCAAGGCCGGUAUAUCCUGGAUGGGGUGCUAGUUCUUCACGAAGUCCUUCAUGAGGUUCACUCUAUGCACCUCAAGGCGGUGUUCCUGAAGAUCGAUUUUCAUAAAGCCUACGACAUUGUUAGUUGGCCCUUCCUUCGGGAAGUCCUGCUCCGAAAAGGUAUUGACGACCGUUGGAUCUCCAGAGUGAUGCAGAUGGUUUCCUGCGGUCGCACUGCUGUGAACAUCAAUGGUGAGAUCGGUCCUUACUUCCCCACCUCCUGUGGGGUUAGGCAAGGCGACUCCUUCUCCCUAUUCUUGUUCAAUAUGGUGGUGGAUGCGCUUGUCGCCAUUCUGGACAAGGCAAGGCCGUGGGGCAUAUUCGUGGGAUCACCCCCCAUGUGCCCGGCGGAUCCGGGAUCUCCCUCCUCCAGUAUGCCGACGACACCAUCAUCAUGGUCGAAGGCUCUGAUGCGGACAUCUCUAACCUUAAGUUCCUCCUCCUCUGCUUACAACAAAUGUCUGGCCUCAAGAUCAACUUCGACAAGAGUGAUGUGA
rnacentral:rRNA from 1 species